rfam:Triticum aestivum genome assembly, contig: Triticum_aestivum_CS42_TGACv1_scaffold_434256_5DL
AACAUACUCCCUCCGUCCGAAAAUACUUGUCGAAGAAAUGGAUGUACCUAGACAUAUUUUAGUUCUAGACAUCCAUUUUUAUCCAUUUUUCCGACGCGUAUUUUCGGAUGGAGGGAGUGCUUA